CAGCACACACUCAUUUUGAGGGAAGACUGCAUUUUCUACAUAGAGUCCAGCCCCCAGGUCAAGCCUGGACAGACUGCAGCUUGAUGAAGUCCUGUGGUCUCUCUCAAUGCACACUAGUUUCUUUGUGACCUCCUCCCUCAGGACCUUGAAUGGGAUGCUGGACAUUCCUCAUGAGAAACCUGAGGAGGAUACUAAAGAGACAGCCACAGUUUUCCUAUGGCCUGCUGCCAAGGAGGGCCCAGCUGUUGGGGUUCUCUUUAUGCUCCUUUCCUCUAUAAGAAGAUGCGUUUCCCAAGUGGUCAUCAACCUCUGCAUUCAGUCCUUCUACUUGCUCCUUUGGAGAAGUCACUGAAUCCUGUGACUUCCAAUAAUAUCUCUGGUCCUGGCUCUGAAAGAUAUGCUAACACGUUGAAAAGGAACCCAGCGAUGAAGCUUUCUUAAGCGGAUCUGUCUGAGCCCAACCUACCGCUGCUGGACUCCUGGUGCUGGCAUUUCUACUGCUUUAUAGUGAGGAGUGUGCGAAAUAACCUCCCUGCUGAUCCUGGCUUGGCACCUGGCACCUGGCACAUGGUACCUGCACAAUGGAUCAGAGUACACGCUGCUGCAGGGUUAAGUGGCAUGCCCCCAGACCUCGGCGAGGGGGAGUCUAGAUUAGAACCCCAGUCUGCAGAUUCCCAGCAUGUCUCACACAGAAGGACCGGACUUGGAAAACCACUUCUCUGAAUGGUAAAACCCGACCAGGAGCAAGGAGCCCUGCCUCUGAGCAAGACCAUCUGAAACUCAAGUUUCCAAAUCUAUAAAAUGGGCUUGUCCUGGGACAUUGUUGUGAAGAUCCAGUAAAAUAGUGGCUACAGAGAGGUUUGGGGGUUGUACACACCUAGGGGACUGCACAGUCGCCAGAACGGCAGGCUCCUUUUUCCUGUCCCCUUCUCCUGCAGGAUGAAAGUCUAGCUGUUCUCUGGGCAGGUGGCCUUGGGGGAUUGGCCUUACUCUUCCUCCAGGAAGAAGAAAGGACACACAGAGACACAGACACACACAGAGAAGAUGGCUGUGCGACAGCAGAGGUAGAGAUCGGAGCAAUGCAGCUACAAGCCCAAGAACACCAAAAUUGCUGGCGUCUACCAGAAACUAGGAGAGAGGCAAGGAAGGACCAUUCUGCAGAGCCUACAAAGGAAGCAUGACCCUGCUGACACCAUGACUUUGGACUUGUGGCCUCCAGAAUGGGGAGGGAGUACCUUUCUGUCGUUUAAACCACCUAGUUGGAGGUAUUUGCUCUGGCGGCCUUAGGAAACUAGCACAGUACCCAACACGUUUGGUUGGCUCAAUGAAUGGUCUAACCUAUCUCCUCCUUCCUCACAGCCAUGGGAAAAGACCUGUCAACUCUGAGCUGGAAUAUUCUGGUAGUCUUCUGAUUGGUCUCCCUGUGGUAGCUAAAUAGAGUGGCACCUUGAGUUUAUGACUGCAGAUGGAUCCUGUGUUUGUUAGGCUGAUUAUCAGAGAAGUUUUUUCUCACGACCCAACUAUAAGGUUACCUGAAUCCCAGUGCUAAAAAAUGUCACCUCUGCCCUGGGUGAAGCUUUCAUGCAAGGCUCUGCUGGGGCACCUAAAAGGACAAUGAUUCAGGCUAUCACUGAGCUCACAGAGCAAGCCACAGGCCUGUUUUUGCACCUGCUUGCUAAUAAAUGAGAGUCUGCGUGGCAGAUUCUGACACCUGCUUUCAUUAUAACCUACAGAGACCCGUGGCCCGAAGACCUCAUGCAUGUACAUG
ensembl:lncRNA